CGAUACUCCAGGCGUAGGGGAUUGUGACAAGCUCAAUGAAAUUCUAGAGGAGUAUCUGCCUUAUGCUGUGGCUUUUGUAUUUGUUGUAAAUCCAGCUAGCGGAGGGGGGAUGCAAAAAGACAGGAUAUUAAAAGUCAUGAAGAGUAUAAAGGCGAAAGCGGAUACGAUGAUAUGCUUUGAUCCUGCUGAUGUUAUUUUCCUAGUUAAUAAAUGGGAUGCAAUGUUUGACAAAAAAAAGGAGGACUACUGAAAAACAGUGGCAUGAUGUUGUUGAUAAGAUAAAGAACUCUUGGCCAAAAGUGAAUAUUGACAACAUUAUACAGAUGUCUGUCAGACUGGUGACCGAGGAAGAUCAGAAGUAUAGUAAUAAUUUUUCAUGUUUUGAAAAACUCCUGCAUUUCCUCGUUGAUAAAAACAUCAACAAAAGAAUAGAAAAUAAUCACAGAUUUCUGGCAGAAAUUUUAUCUAAAUUAGAGAUGUUUAUAAACUCAAGAAUUUCUGCGGCAAGCAAAUCUUUGCCCGAUUUAAAAACUGAUUCAGAGCAGUGUCUUAGAAGAUUGGAAG